rnacentral:rRNA from 1 species
UUGGAGGGCAAGUCUGGUGCCAGCAGCCGCGGUAAUUCCAGCUCCAAUAGCGUAUAUUAAAGUUGUUGCAGUUAAAAAGCUCGUAGUUGAAUUUCGGGGUUCAUCCGUUGGUCGGGCUUUUUUGGUCUGUACUGGCGUGAUGGAUUCCUACCUUCUGAAUAACCAGCAUGUCAUUAAUUUGGUGCGCUGGGGAAGCAGGACUGUUACCUUGAAAAAAUUAGAGUGCUUAAAGCAGGCUAUCGCCUGAAUACAUUAGCAUGGAAUAAUGAAAUAGGACGGCAUGGUUCUAUUUUGUUGGUUUCUAGGAUCACCGUAAUGAUUAAUAGGGAUAGUUGGGGGCAUUAGUAUUCAAUUGUCAGAGGUGAAAUUCUUGGAUUUAUUGAAGACUAACUUCUGCGAAAGCAUUUGCCAAGGAUGUUUUCAUUAAUCAAGAACGAAAGUUAGGGGAUCGAAGACGAUCAGAUACCGUCGUAGUCUUAACCAUAAACUAUGGGCCACUAGGAUCGGACGAUGUUAAUUUUUUAAUGUACUUGUUCGGC